CAUCUGAAUGUGGCGAUGCUGACACAAACUCCUCACCAACCCUGGGUUCCAGACCAGACGACUGAUUGGAGGAACAGAGAGAGCAGGAGAGUGACCAUAGCCAGAGGAGAGCAGCCAUAGCCGGCAACCACACCAUACAGUCAUUGGCUCUCCUGAUCCUCAUUAAAAUAGUGCUGCCUACCCUGACCUCUGCUGAGAGGGAACAACUUUGGAAGAUGGCCCAAUACUAUGCCAAUGAACUCCACGAGGAAGUGCAGCCUGGGCUGCCAGAGCAUGCAUGCAGCAAGCGCAGUAAAACAUCCAGCUGAGGCAAACCUGUGUUCUGCCAAAAGACAUAGAGACGGCUGACUCGAAAAUGGCCUGAUACAGAUAGCCAAUGCGGAACAGACAAGACCUAUCAAUGGACCAAUGGGACACCAGGAGGGGAGAUAUAAGGGAGCCCCAUAUCCACA